rnacentral:rRNA from 1 species
GAUCCUGGCUCAGGACGAACGCUGGCGGCGUGCCUAACACAUGCAAGUCGAGCGGAGACAGUGAGUAGCUUGCUAUGAACUGUUUUAGCGGCGGACGGGUGAGUAACGCGUGAGCAACCUUUCCCAGACAGGGGAAUAACACACCUAAAGGUGUACUAAUACCGCAUAAGACCACGGGAUCACAUGGUUCUGGGGUAAAAGAUUUAUCGGUUUGGGGUGGGCUCGCGUCCGAUUAGGUAGUUGGCGAGGUAACGGCCC